rnacentral:rRNA from 1 species
GAUGAACGCUAGCUACAGGCUUAACACAUGCAAGUCGAGGGGAAACGACAUCGAAAGCUUGCUUUUGGUGGGCGUCGACCGGCGCACGGGUGAGUAACGCGUAUCCAACCUGCCCACCACUUGGGGAUAACCUUGCGAAAGUAAGACUAAUACCCAAUGAUAUCCCACGAAGGCAUCGGAAUGGGAUUAAAGAUUUAUCGGUGAUGGAUGGGGAUGCGUCUGAUUAGCUUGUUGGCGGGGUAACGGCCCACCAAGGCUACGAUCAGUAGGGGUUCUGAGAGGAAGGUCCCCCCACAUUGGAACUGAGACACGGUCCAAAACUCCUACGGGAGGCAGCAGUGAGGAAUAUUGGUCAAUGGGCGAGAGCCUGAACCAGCCAAGUAGCGUGCAGGAUGACGGCCCUAUGGGUUGUAAACUGCUUUUAUAAGGGAAUAAAGUGGGUCACGUGUGACUUUUUGCGUGUACCUUAUGAAUAAGGACCGGCUAAUUCCGUG